GGAUGAAGAACGCAGCGAAAUGCGAUAAGUAAUGUGAAUUGCAGAAUUCAGUGAAUCAUCGAAUCUUUGAACGCACAUUGCGCCCCCUGGUAUUCCGGGGGGCAUGCCUGUCCGAGCGUCAUUACAACCCUCAAGUUCAGCUUGGUGUUGGGCCCCGCCGCCCCGGCGGGCCCUAAAGUCAGUGGCGGUGCCGUCCGGCUCCGAGCGUAGUAAUUCUUCUCGCUCUGGAGGUCCGGUCGUGUGCUCGCCAGCAACCCCCAAUUUUUUUCAGGUUGACCUCGGAUCAGGUAGGGAUACCCGCUGAACUUAAGCAUAUCAAUAAGCGGAGGA
rnacentral:misc_RNA from 1 species